UCUGAAAUAGCUCAGUUGGGAGAGCAUUAGACUGAAAAUCCAAAGGUCCCUGGUUCAAUCCCGGGUUUCGGCA
rnacentral:tRNA from 1 species